GGGCUAAUACCGAAUGAUAAAGUGUGGCGCAUGCCAUGCUUUUGAAAGAUGGUUUCGGCUAUCGCUUACAGAUGGGCCCGCGGUGCAUUAGCUAGUUGGUAGGGUAAUGGCCUACCAAGGCAACGAUGCAUAGCCGACCUGAGAGGGUGAUCGGCCACACUGGGACUGAGACACGGCCCAGACUCCUACGGGAGGCAGCAGUAGGGAAUCUUCCGCAAUGGACGAAAGUCUGACGGAGCAACGCCGCGUGUAUGAAGAAGGUUUUCGGAUCGUAAAGUACUGUUGUUAGAGAAGAACAAGGAUAAGAGUAACUGCUUGUCCCUUGACGGUAUCUAACCAGAAAGCCACGGCUAACUACGUGCCAGCAGCCGCGGUAAUACGUAGGUGGCAAGCGUUGUCCGGAUUUAUUGGGCGUAAAGCGCGCGCAGGCGGUCUUUUAAGUCUGAUGUGAAAGCCCCCGGCUUAACCGGGGAGGGUCAUUGGAAACUGGAAGACUGGAGUGCAGAAGAGGAGAGUGGAAUUCCACGUGUAGCGGUGAAAUGCGUAGAUAUGUGGAGGAACACCAGUGGCGAAGGCGACUCUCUGGUCUGUAACUGACGCUGAGGCGCGAAAGCGUGGGGAGCAAACAGGAUUAGAUACCC
rnacentral:rRNA from 1 species